rnacentral:rRNA from 1 species
UACGUAGGGUGCGAGCGUUGUCCGGAAUUACUGGGCGUAAAGAGCUCGUAGGUGGUUUGUCGCGUUGUUCGUGAAAACUCACAACUCAAUUGUGGGCGUGCGGGCGAUACGGGCAGACUGGAGUACUGCAGGGGAGACUGGAAUUCCUGGUGUAGCGGUGGAAUGCGCAGAUAUCAGGAGGAACACCAGCGGCGAAGGCGGCGCUCUGGGCCGGUACUGACGCUGAGGAGCGAAAGCGUGGGUAGCAAACAGG